rnacentral:rRNA from 2 species
UUUAUUGGAGAGUUUGAUCCUGGCUCAGGAUGAACGCUGGCGGCGUGCCUAAUACAUGCAAGUCGAGCGAAUGGAUUAAGAGCUUGCUCUUAUGAAGUUAGCGGCGGACGGGUGAGUAA